UGGGUUGUAGCUCAGUGGUAGAGUAUUCAUCUCACACAUGUGAGACCCUGAGUUGGAUCCUCAGCACCACAU
rfam:Ictidomys tridecemlineatus contig098255, whole genome shotgun sequence.